AACGCAUAUUGCGCUCUUUGGUAUUCCGAAGAGCAUGCUUGUUUGAGUAUCAGUAAACACCUCAAAGCUUUUGGAUUUUUUUUGAAAGCUUUGGACUUGAGCAAUCCCAACGCCAAUCUUUUUCAGAUCGGCGGCGGGUUGCUUGAAAUGCAGGUGCAGCUGGACUUUCUCCUGAGCUAAAAGCAUAUUCAUUUAGUCCCGUCAAACGGAUUAUUACUUUUGCUGCAGCUAACAUAAAGGGAGUUUGACCGUAUUGGCUGACUGAUGCAGGAUUUUACAAGGGUCGGCAACGAUUCUUGUUAAACUCGAUCUCAAAUCAAGUAAGACUACCCGCUGAACUUAA
rnacentral:misc_RNA from 1 species